rfam:Apaloderma vittatum contig39111, whole genome shotgun sequence.
GGCUAUUUAGCUCAGUGGGUUGAGCACAGUGCUGAUAACACCGAGAUCGCGGGUUCGAUUCCCAUUUGAUCCC